rnacentral:ncRNA from 2 species
GACCAAGGAGUCUGACAUGUGUGC